rnacentral:rRNA from 1 species
UACGAAGGGGGCUAGCGUUGCUCGGAUUGACUGGGCGUAAAGGGCGCGUAGGCGGUUCGUACAGUCAGACGUGAAAUUCCUGGGCUCAACCUGGGGGCUGCGUUUGAUACGUGCGGACUUGAGUGCGGAAGAGGGUCGUGGAAUUCCCAGUGUAGAGGUGAAAUUCGUAGAUAUUGGGAAGAACACCGGUGGCGAAGGCGGCGACCUGGUCCGGAUACUGACGCUGAGGCGCGAAAGCGUGGGGAGCAACAGG